UGGUUAAACUAUUAUUAUUUUAUUUUGCUUGACUAUUGUCCAUUCUUUCUGUCUUUUCUCACUUCUCUGAUUACAUUUACUCUUUGGAACUCAGGGAAGGCCUCAGAUGCUACAGGUUUUCUACAGAUUAGAGGCAGGUGGAGGACUUGGGUGGGCAGGGAGUCUGUUCUGGGAAGGCCCCAUAGGAUGCUACUCAGCUACAAUAAUAUUCAACCAGAAUUAUUUAUCAAAUUGCUAAAGCCUGAGUUUGGGUUAGCGUAAGAGUGUGAAAACCCUGGGGACACCCAUGAGCUGGGGAUACAUUUUUUUACAGUCCUUUCCUUAGAGAACUCAAUCAAGUAUUCACAGAGAAAUAAGGUAAACUUAGAGAAAGUUUUUGCCUGGGGGAAGGAAACUUAAACUGCUGCAGAAAUACCCCAAGACUAUCUCCUAGAAGGAAGGUCUUAGUCUCUUGGGAGAAAGGCAACAAAACCAUACAGAGCCUGAGGGCCUUGGUGGAAACCCACUGCAGCUUGGUGAGGAGAACAAGAGAAAAAAAAAGCUUAACAUCAGGGAACUGCUGCUGCUACUACUAAGUCACUUCAGUCGUGUCCGACUCUGCGACCCCAUAGACGGCAGCUCACCAGGCUCCCCCGUCCAUGGGAUUUUCUAGGCAAGAGUACUGGAGUGGGGUGCCAUCGCCUUCUCCGAACACCAAGGAAAGACCCAGUAUAAUUAUGCAAGGGUGGACAGCAAGGCCUGUGAAGACCACACUCUCAAUACCUGGGUCACACCUACCUCUGAUUGAAGUUUAAUCAGGAUAUCAGAUAAACCCUCCUAAUCCACUACCAAUCUAAGGAGUGCUGAGUAAAAACAACGCUGAAACAGGGAUUCACUCCAGGAAGCAGUGCAAACAGAAGACACCAAGCCAGUUUUGGAAACACAAGCCAGGUCACCAUUCACACUUGAUGACAAAAUUAUAAUAUGUUGAAAAUAACAUUAAAAUAAAGGGGCACCUUGAAAUUAAAUUGAGCGAUAUCAGUGUUAUGAGUUUCGUCUGCAAAUCUUCUUGAUAACUUUACCAAUCCACAGGGCUUUCCAGGUGGUGCUACUGGCAAAGAACCUGCCAGCCAAGGCAGGAGACAUAAGAGACCUGGGUUCAUUCCCAGGUUGAGAAGAUCUCCUGGAAGAGGGCAUGGCAACCCACUCCAGUAUUCUUGCCUGGAGAAUGCCAUGGACAGAGGAGCCUGGCAGGCUACAGUCCAUAGAGUCACAAAGAGUUGGACAUAACUGAAGCAACUUAGCAGGCAAUCCUUUUCAAGUGGGAGGAGAGAGAACCAGAAAACAAAAGCAAAACUUCCCUUGUGACAGAAGGAAAGAAGAUGGAGUAUCAAUGCAGAUAAAUAACACUAAUAUAUUUGUGCUAUUGAAGCAUAUUGAAAAACAUUUAGUCACUCAGAUACUGUUAGAAAAGAUAAUGAUUACAAGAGUAAUGUGCUGGCAAAUUUAUUUUAUAAAAUCAUCUUACAAUUGUUUCAAAAAAAGAAACAUACAACUUUGUCUUCUAAAAUUGAAAUCAACUGUAAAAAAAGAAACUAUCAUAUGCAAGAUUGAUUUAUUUAAUAAACAUUUAUGAAGGACCCUACUAUAUGCCAGAUACACAAUAUAAUAC
ensembl:lncRNA